AAGAAGGAGGCGGGGCCCAUCGCCUCCCUCCCGCAGGGUCACCUUGGCUAGGCCCCCCGCAACCCCGGGCGGGGGACUGGGGGCGGGAGGGGGCGGCAAGAAUGCCUUUCAACGGGCCCUGAUUUCUCCGCCCAGCCCAGUUCCAGGAACGCGCGGGCAGCACCCGCGGGCAGAGGCCCCAGCUCCGGGUUCUGGGCGGCGCACGCCGGGGUUCGAGGCCAAGCUUAGUGCCUCCCUCCCGUCCGACGCCGGCUUGUUCCCCUCCCCCGCCCUCCGUUUCCUGGGCCUCAGUUUCCUUCCAAGUCCCGGCUUCCGCUCAGCUGGCGUCUGGGUCCCCGCCGUUGGGGCAGCCUACGUCCUCAGUUGGAGUGCCGCGGGGUCCUUGAUUGUGUGCCUGGCCCCUCAGCGCCCAGCGCAGUGCGGUUUACAAAGUGGAAUGAGUGGAGAGACCUGAGUGAGAAAGCCCAAACCUGCACCCGCUAAGUUGUUUUUACCUCCUGAUGCUGAAACUCGGCUGGCGUUCUUCAGUGUUUUGUUUGGGCCAAUCUGGAGCCCCCACCCAGCUAUCUUCUUGCUGCUCUGCAGCGCGGUUGAAAACCUUGACAUAAAAAGAGCCCUGCUUCUGUUAGCCGACCCUGCCUCCAUGCAGUUGGCCUUGAAAAGUCCAACAGACAUAAAGCAUCUUCUAUAGGUGAGGCAUCUGCCUCUGGGCGUAAUUCCACCUUCACUCCUGUUAUUUGAUGGUGUGUCCUUGCUCGAGCUCCCAGCAUCCCCAGCACCUGGCAUAGUGUUUGGCACAUAGUAGGUGCUCGUGAACUGUUACAUGGACACACAGUAGAUGCUCAUUAUAUUUGGGGCAAAUGGAGACACAGUAGGUGCUCAUGACUUGCGUGAAUGGACGGAUACAGAAUAUAUGUUCAUUCCAUUUUCAAGAAAAUGGACACAUAGCAGGUGGUCGUGACCUGUUGCAUGAAAGGACACACUGAGUGAAUAGGCAAAGAGUAGGGGUUCGUGAACUAUUGGGUGAUAGGUGAAAGGCCAUAGGCCCAGAAGGUGGUGGUUUGGAAGUGACCCCACCCCCACCCGGGUUUCCCUUGUGUGGAUUAUGUGGAGUGAGGUCGGGUUAAACAUUAGCCGGCAGAUGGGCCUCUCGGGAAGGCCAGCUUUGCGACCUAGCGCCUUCAGGAGGGGGCUGUUAAGGGCCAACUCUCCCAGUCCACUGACCAGCGGGUGUGUGGGGUGGGGCGGAGGCUGAGAGACACAGAGCGCCCCCUCCCGGCGUCCGGGAUCACGGUGAUUCAGCUGAAGCGAGACCCUGUAGCCUGCAGUGUUGCAAAGUCCAAUUUCUUCGAGCCCCAAGGAAAUCCAGGUGUAUGAAAAAGGUACCCAAGGGGCUAAUUUUAUAUCCGUUAAAAGAACUUGCCAUGUGUUUGCAGGAUGCCAGGCACUGUGCGACGGUGCAACAGAGUGACAACCUCAGUUGCCCUUGCUCUCCUGGGGCUUACAGUCCAUCAGGAACUGAAUCCAGUGACCAGGAAAAUCCAAUGAUCCCUGAACCAUAAAGGGGAUUUGAUCAUAAGGGACCUUCACUCCUGAGGGCCUUUAUAAUAGUUUUCCACACGCACUUGUUUUCACAGACAAGCAGGUUGUUCCCUGUAAAGAAUCUGACUUGACAUUCCCAUGUUGGGAUGGUGAAUAACAGCAUCUUUCUAAGGUUAUUGUAAAGGUUAAAUAAGGUAUAUUCUCAAUACAUAUUAGCAAUUACUACCAGGUGUCAAACCUGAUCCAAGGCAUGUCAAUUCCAGGACCCAGCUAGUGUCCUCUUAGCUGCAAAUAAGCCCCUAAAUUGGCUCCUGUAAAUCCAACAAGAGUGAAGAAUGCUAUAAUCUUGGUGGAGGUGAUCCAACCAGAAACCCCCAAUUCUCAGUCAGACCAGGUCUUUCUCUGCACCAGAUGCUUUGCUUUCAUUAUAUUCACAACAACCUUGAGAGGGGGUCCUAUUAUUAUUGCUAUUUUACAGAAGAGGAUAUUGAAGCACAAGAGGUUGAGUAAUUUGGUCAAGUUCUCAGAAGCUAGUAUGAGGAGUCAUAGUCCAGAUUGCAAUCUCAGUUAGUCUGAUUUCAACCCUUGUGUUAUAAUCUGCUCUGUCCCUGGGGCAUCAGAUACCCGGCAGAGUGGGGUUGUGGGACAUCCAAGAGGACCAGCCUUCGGGAUUUUAGGGGGGUUGGCUUUUCCAGGAGGCAACACCUACUACCGCAGUCAGUCCAAGCCUGGCUUUCUCCUUCUUAGUGAAAGGGCACAGCAAGGUGGCUGUCCGCAAGCAAGGAAGAGAGCCCUGACUAGGAAGUGAAUUCGCCAGCAUUUUGAUCUUGGACUUCCCAGCCUCCAGAACUGUGAGAAGUAAAUGUGUGUUGGUUAAGCCCCAUAGUCAAUGGUAUUCUGUUACAGCAACCUGAGCUAAGACAAUUGCUGAUAGAUAUAUCUUGGGGACUGAAUCUUGUCCCCUAAUCUUUCAUCAAUAAACAUUUAUUGAACAUCU